GUGCUCACUUUGGCAGCACAUAUUUGCAAAAUUGGAAUGACAAAGAAAUUAGCAUGGUCCCUGUGCAAGGACGACAUGAAAAUUCAUGAAGCAUUCCAUAUUUUA